UACGUCUAAUGGUUUUGAAGUACAACUUACAGAAACCAUUUUUAGAUUUAUGCAGGGUGCAAAUCCUUAUGCACCAUAACCGCGCCCGAUUGAAGAAUUGGUGCGUUCUAAAUUUGUACAUCUUAAUUAAGGGUGAAAUGGAUCUCCGCCGUUCCCUAUGUGUGGUACUCCUGGGAUGUAAAUUGAAGGGUUAUUAUAGAGUAGUUUUCUGUGUCUAGGUCGAUGUUUGUUCAGACCAACCGAUUUUUGUAAAUCAGUUGUUGGUGGCUGGUAAAUGAUCGGUCCAUCGGUUUGGGCAUGUAUUUGAUGCUUUGGAUUCCCUGCAAUAUUGGUAAGAGUGAUA
rnacentral:lncRNA from 1 species